CUAACGUGGAUUUCCCUAGUAACGGCGAGUGAACGGGAAAAAGCCCAGCGCUGAAUCCUUUAGCCUAUGGCUACUAGGAAUUGUAGCGUAUAGGUGUAACUAUCCGUCUAUUUUGUGCACCCAAAGUCCCCUUGAGCGGGGCUACAGUCCAUAGAAGGUGCCAGACCUGUACGGGUGAUAAGAUGGUCGGUAUGUUGCACUUUGGAGUCGGGUUGCCUGAGAUCGCAGCCCAAAGUGGGUGGUAAACCUCAUCUAAGGCUAAAUACGACCACGAGACCGAUAGCAAACAAGUACCGUGAGGGAAAGUUGCAAAGAACUUUGAAGAGAGAGUUCAAGAGGGCGUGAAACCGCUGAGAUGGAAACGGAUAGAGUUGACGAAACCUGUUUGCAUUCAACCGGUCAGCUUAGCGGCCUCGCGGUAAUUGUACCUCGUUUUUACGGGGGCUUUGCGGUGAGUGUACUGUUGAGCUGCGACCGGUGUAUUUGCAGACGGUAUGCGCUGAGAGCUUCGUUGAUAGCACGUUGACGCGCAUGUUGUGGACCGAAUCAUUUUCGGAUGAUUUGGAGUAAUCCUACGUGCGCUAUGUUAGAUGUGUCUUCGAUGAAGUUACGGAAGUGUGCAGCAACUUCGGCCCAUUACGGACGCAACGAGCUACGAUGUGGUUUGUUCAGUUCACAAUGGCGGUCGCUUGCGACCUGUCGGUGCAUUGCAGAUACAGAUCAAUCGUUGUUCUACUCUGUUGCAUUUGAGGUUGCAUCUCGGUGUGAACGUCGAUCACCUAUCCGACCCGUCUUGAAACACGGACCAAGGAGU
rnacentral:rRNA from 1 species